AUACUACUGAAAAUUUUGCUAUUUACCCAGUCUGCAGGGUUUUUGGAGAUUUGGUCCCAAUUUUCUAAUUUAAAUGUACUUUUAGGGCUGCCUUCAUAAUUCCAGUGAGUAAGGUUACUUAAAUUAAUAGAGUUGGUUGAGAUAUAGAAUAAAAUGUCAGAUAAUAUCUAAGCUUAGAAUGUAUUUUUAGAGACAGAUUAUCUUUUCUUAAGUCUUUUAUCAAUUCAAGCACCCCUCUGUCGUACAGAAGCAGCGUAUAGCUGAAAUAAAGUAGUACAUCUGCCACUAACAGCAUAUGAUUUUUCUUAAAGUAAGCAUUUACAAAGCAGUACAGAAUAGUGUAAUUCUACCUAGAAUGUAAAGACAGUUUUAGAGAAUUUUCAUCUUUUUCAGUUAGUCCACAGUUCACAGUAGUAUGCCCAGUAAGCCAGAAAAGUAUCAUUAAAAAUUCCAUUACAGCAGUUGGUCUGUCAUGUGUCUUUAUAUAGAUCUAAAUUAUAAUAGCAUUCAUUUUAGAACAGACGGAGGACUUCCAUGAAAAGAUUUUGUUAAAUAUGUGUCAUGAGAGUCGAGACAUCUCUUCUCAGGAAUGAUUCUUAAGUGUAAUACAAGGAAUCUGAAAUAAUAGAAAAGCUAAAAAUGGCGAUUUAUAUAAUAUUGAUAUGUUGUUGGGUUUUUUAAAGUAUUUCUCUCCACUGUCCUUUUAUGUUUUCUUAUUUGCAGACCCCAAUCCUUUAGAUAUUUAUAAAACUCUGAAAGUUUAUGGACUUCAACAAUUUCAAUAUGAACAGAAGAGCGCAGUCGUGUUGAGAGCUCUUUAAGAUAGAAAUAGACUUCUGAAGUAUUUCUGAUCCUCAAUAAUCUGUAGCUAAGUAUCUAAUUUUAUACAGAUAAAUUUGAAAAACAUGUAGAUUGUCUGAAUAAAGUUGUUCCAAGCCUAACCUAUUUUGUUUAUGGAUAUCAAAAGGCUUGGCCAACAGCACAAAUGCUGUGUACUUGUGUACCAGAUUCCUUCUAGGAUAACCUAUAUAUCCAUAUAUGUAUUUAUAUAUGAUGUAUAUGUAUCUAAGAUACAUAUCUAUAUUUAAAAUUCUGUAGCUUUUGAAAGAAUACAAAACCGAAAGUCAUGAGUGAUGCUAACAAGAGGUUGAAAUUCUUACUGAAAAAUUCCAAAUGUAUUUUCUUUUUCACAAUAUUGAGCCACUUUGGAUAAAUACAAGUGAUAAUAAUCACAUAUUACAUGCUAUGCAUGCAUUUAGAUUUAAAGCUGCAUUUUAAUGUAGAAGUAAAAGAAAUCAAUGGAAAGUGCCUUGAAUAUAGAUGGUCUUCAUGGAAUCAUAAAAUUAUAAAAAUUAUGAAGAAUGAUAAUUUAAAUUCUUCCAUUUUAGGGAAAAAUAUUUUCUGAUGCAAAAUCAUUCUGUUUAAAAAACAAUAAUAAAAUAAAAGCACACUGCUUACUUUUGUAGAUUUUGGGCCUCCUCCCAAUGGGCUAUUUAUACAUUUGAGUAAUCUGUGUGUGCAAGCAAGUUAGCUGCAGGGAAGCUCAAUUUUAGCUUUUCAUUCUUCCCUAAUAGAGAUUUUUUAUUUAUUUAUUUAUUUUUCUUCAGGUUCACAGAUACCACAGGCAGUGCUUAUAAGAACAAACCCUUUUAGUGGCAUUGCAAUGUGCUCAGGCAAGAGGAGGUCUUGUGUCUUGGGCCGCUGGAAGUCUGUGCAUUGCUGUUCUUCUGGAGUACUCAUGGAAAGGUAACUGGCUUUUUAUUAAUUCCUUUCUUUCAGGAGAAUGAUACUUCUACCUGUUUAGAUUUUUCUCUUUUCCCUACUCUGUUUAUUCCCUACAUCUGUUUGGUAGAGACAUAUUAAUCACAGAGGCAUUAAUUGUUCUAGUUUAAAUCUAGGACACUGAACAUUAUGAUCCACUCUGUACAAAUUGUAAUUUUAACACUUCAAAUAUUCAUCUAAGUAAUUUUAGAUGCUUUUAUAAUUACAUUAUAAUUAAUGGUAAAGAUAUAUACGAUACUUUUCUCUGUGUUUUCAUAUUUUCUGUUUUCUGAAGGUGUUAAAAGAACAAGGUCAUGUAUUGUAUUUUAAUUAUAUAACCUCAUUUUUAGCACUAUGCUUCACUCUCAGGGGCUUUUUUGAGUAACUGAGCUUAACUGAUGUUGUUUUCCACUGAUCUGAAGAUGAAUGAGCAUAAUUAUUAGUGCACUAUUUGUUUUCAUUAUUGUGUUGCAUUAACUGCACAUUUUGCUUACUGCUGUCCCUUCCAAGAUUUUAUAAAUUGGAGGAAAAUUUUUCCUCCAUCAGUAUUUCAUCUGAGGUGACAAUUUACAACAGAACUGUGUGCUGUGCACCUAUUUCAGUGAUUUUUGUGCCGCUGAACCUGUGACCAAAUGUGGAAUUUGAAAACAUUUUAGCUGAACGAAAAAAAAGAAGCCCAGUAUAUCAUCUUUGCUUCAGUCAGAAAACAUUAAUUGCUGGUAGCUUUCAACUUGAGCAAGAAAAAUUAAAGAUUCUAUAAUAAAACAUGCCUAUUCCCAGUAAUUCAUUAGAUUAAAUGCAGAUAUCAGUUAAAGAUGUGUGCGGAACGUUAUGGCUAAUGAUCUGUAUUCUUUUACCAAAAAGUUGUAGAUUCAAUUACAAAGUCAAAGAUACCCUCAGAAUAUUUCAGGUGGGUUACAAACUUUUUGAUCACUGAAACAUACUUACUGUUUUUAAUGUCUUUUAAUAUCUUUUUAGAAACUGUACCACCAUAACCCACUGUCUUGGAAACACACCUAAUUUCCUUUGAGGAUGUAUAAAAUAGAAAUUAUAGAUUUGAUGUGUUUUUGUUUAUUUUAUUUUAUUUUAGAGAAAAGUGGGUUAACAUUUUUUUCCAUGAAGACUGACUCUCCAUUGAACACACGAGUGAAGUAUACAGAGGCCAUGUAACAGAUACAUCAUAAAAAAUACCAGUAUGAAUUUUCCUACAGUCUUUCCAAAAGUCCUGUUUUUCUAAAGAUUAUAGGGUACCUUUUGUCUUUCUCAUAACAGAGCUGAUUUUUUCCAUCUGUAUUUUAUGUGGGCUACUUGUACUAGAAUUUUUUCUAAGUUCAUAGGUAUGCUAUUAUUUCUCAGAUUUAAGGUGGGUACAAACCAACAAUAGAUGAAAAAAGGGUUAGAAUAAAGAUUUUUAAAGGCAGCAUACUUAAACAACACUAUUUCUAAACAGUCAGAGUUAGAAUCUUUGAGUUAGUUAAUUGAGUUGCUUUCUGAGAGAAGUGAAAUUGAAUCUUUGAAAUACGAGGCAGAAGAGAGGAACAAAUGGCAAUAACGAAGCUGAAAAUGAUAAAGGGAAGAUCUUGUGAACAUUCAGAAAUCAGAUACGAGAAAUGGUAUGUAAAGAUAAAUCUUGAAGGCCUUCUCAACCAGACAUGAUCUUAUACGGUGUUCCAAACAUAAAUAAAUAAAUAAAUAGAACUGUCA